UAACGAAGGGGGCUAGCGUUGCUCGGAAUUACUUGGGCGUAAAGGCGCACGUAGGCGGAUUUGUUAAGUCGGGGGUGAAAUCCUGGAGCUCAACUCCAGAACUGCCUUCGAUACUGGCGAUCUCGAGUUCGGGAGAGGUGAGUGGAACUGCGAGUGUAGAGGUGAAAUUCGGUAGAUAUUCGCAAGAACACCAGUGGCGAAAGGCGG
rnacentral:rRNA from 1 species